rnacentral:rRNA from 1 species
UUCAAGAAGAAGCUUAGGCCUGAUGGUACUAUUGAAAAGUAUAAGGCUCGGCUCGUGGCUAAGGGUUAUACCCAAAAGGAAGGUGAAGACUUCUUUGAUACUUACUCACUUGUGGCUCGACUGACCACUAUUCGAGUUCUACUUUCACUAGCUGCCUCACAUGGUCUUCUCGUUCAUCAAAUGGAUGUUAAGACUGCUUACCUAAAUGGAGAGUUGGAUGAGGAAAUUUAUAUGGAACAACCAGAUGGGUUUGUAAUAGAUGGUCAGGAAGGGAAAGUGUGCAAGUUGCUGAAGUAUUUGUAUGGACUCAAGCAAGCACCCAAACAGUGGCAUGAGAAGUUCGAAAGAACUUUAACAGCUGUAGGCUUUGUUGUGAACGAAGCUGACAAAUGUGUGUACUAUCGCCAUGGUGGGGGCGAGGGAGUUAUGCUUUGCUUGUAUGUUGAUGACAUACUGAUUUUCGGAACAAAUCUGAACGUUAUUAAGGAGGUCAAGGAUUUCCUAUCUCGCUGUUUUGAGAUGAAGGAUUUAGGAGUGGCUGAUGUCAUUUUGAACAUCAAGUUGUUGAGAGAUGAUGAUGGUGGGAUUACAUUGCUUCAAUCUCACUAUGUGGAAAAGAUAAAGGCCACGAGCGGUUAUGUAUUCACUCAUGGAGGUGGCGCUGUUUCUUGGAACUCUUGCAAGCAGACCAUCUUAACGAGGUCAACAAUGGAAGCAGAACUCACAGCACUAGAUACAGCUACGGUCGAAGCAGAUUGGCUUCGCCUGCUCUUGAAUGACUUGCCGGUAGUUGAGAAACCGGUACCGGGUAUCCUUAUGAACUGUGACAAUCAAACUGUGAUCACUAAAGUGAGCAGCUCAAAGGAUAACAUGAAGUCAUCAAGACACGUUCAGAGAAGGUUAAAGUCUAUCAGAAAAAUGAAAAACUCCGGAGUUAUUGCAUUGAAUUAUGUCCAAACGUCUAAAAAUCUGGCAGAUCCUUUUACUAAGGGUCUAUCACGUAAUAUGAUAGAUAAUGCAUCGAGGGAGAUGGGUAUGAGACCCACA